rnacentral:rRNA from 1 species
CCUGUUUAACAAAAACAUGUCUUUUUGAGUUAUUUUUAAAGUCUGACCUGCCCACUGAAAUUAUUUAAAUGGCCGCAGUAUUCUAACUGUGCAAAGGUAGCAUAAUCAUUAGUCUUUUAAUUGAAGGCUGGUAUGAACGGUUGGACGAGGUAUAAGCUGUUUCAUAUAAAUUUAUAGUAGAAUUUUAUAUUUUAGUCAAAAAGCUAAAAUUUAAUUAAAAGACGAGAAGACCCUAUAAAUCUUUAUAUUUUUUGUUGUUUAAAUUUUUUGGAUUAUUUUUAUUUUUAUAAUUUGAAGUAUUUUGUUGGGGUGAUAUUAAAAUUUAAUGAACUUUUAAUUUUUAAAAAUCAUUAAUUUAUGAGUUAUUGAUCCAUUAAUAGUGAUUAUAAGAUUAAGUUACUUUAGGGAUAACAGCGUAAUUUUUUUGGAGAGUUCAUAUUGAUAAAAAAGUUUGCGACCUCGAUGUUGGAUUAAGAUAAUUUUAGGUGUAGUCGCUUAAAC